GGGUGUGUUUAAUAUUCACUCCAACAGACAGCAGCAACCUGGAGGUAAUAUACACACUCCUGCCCUAGUCCAAGUAAAGAUAUCAAGGAGAGGCUUUUUAGAGGCCUACGGAGUGUGUGUGUGUAGUGUAGUGUAGUGUACAGUAUGUGUAGGGUAGGGUGUGCGUGAGACUGAGUGAGUAACCUGUAGCUCUGAUAAACAUCAGGCUAUUUACAGCCGAGAAAGUUCACUUGGGAAGAAGCUGACCCGUGAAUCUGAGUGUGCCACUUCACUUGCGUCCAAAGAUGGUAGCGGGGUGACCAGGUUGUGGAUCGGGUGGCUGAGGUACUUGAUGAGGGACUUAUGGACCAAGCUGAAUUUCUUCAGCCUCCUGAGGUUCUACACCACACUGAAGCUAUGGAGGGACCAUUUCAGGAAGUGACAUCACCGGAGGAGAGGUGGUGUAAUGGGUUCCAUCCUGUCGUGGGCUGGGUUGGCAGGGACUCACAAGGAGAGGAGUUCUUGGAAGAAUGAACAGAUUUGCUCAGCCCAGGGGGUGACAGAUACAACGCCCUCUACAGGACAGGAGGCAGAGUCACCUUCAUACUGCUAGUCCCCUGGGAGAAUUGGACAGAUAAACUCUUCUCCUUCUUCACUCAUUUCCUAUUACACCUUUUUCUUUGCAUCAACUACACCGUCUAGCUGUUGUUCUCUGAGUCUGAAGUACCUACAUCCUCUCCUGUUUUCUGCUUUCUUGUUUGUCCUAAUCUUUAAUGUGUAGGCUACACCUGUGAGUCAUAGUCCUGUUUAUCAAUUCUGAGAAUAGAAGUGGACAGGGGCGCAAGUUUCACUGGGGAUGGAGGGUACAUGCCCCCCACCCCCAUAUGGCAUUUUUGUCCCUCUCCCCAGUUUUAACAUUGGGAUGUGAUACAAAACGAGGCAACAUGUGCUUUAGGACCAUGCGUACGCCUCAGAGUGUCGGGUAGGCUGUUUGGAAUGUUUAUCUGACUGGAUAAAAACAAUAUUUAUACAGUACCAAUCAAAAGUUUGGACACAUGGACUCAUUCAAGGGUUUUUCUUA